rnacentral:misc_RNA from 1 species
AAAUUAGUAUUAUUAAUUAAUUUUAUUUUUUACAUUUUUUAUCCUUAUUUUAACUGAUCUAAGUAUAGAGUUUUAAUUAAUUAACCUGGGUAAUAAAAUUCCAGUUGAGAGAGUUGAUAGAGUUGCAGCAUUUUUAGAGAAAUAUCAAUGUUUCCCUUAUGUGUUAUUAGAUUUUUUUUUUCAUUUGUGAUUUUAUAUAUUUAUUAGAUAAAAUGUAAUAGUGUUUCAAAAUCACAAAUCCUUUUUUAAGUGAGAAGGUAUUUUCAAAACUGCCAUGUCCUCUAAUGGGUUAUUCUAUAAGUUUUCUGUGCUUUUAAAAGUUGUAUGCUUUUUAUAUUAUUAUUUAACUCAGAUUGUUGGCAAUAUAGCUCAUGUAUUAAAGUCUUCUGUCACAGUUGACUCAGCAAGAAUGAAGACAUUGAUACACUUUUGCAUUAUGGAAUACACAAAUUGGCAGUUCCUCGCCCACUGCCGUAAAAAUACAGGUAAGUAUGCAUGCAUACACAACCCUCAAAAUUAGUAAAACUAAAAUACUAAAGUUAAACACUUAAUAAAGUACUUGCUGCAAUUACUUUCAAAAGACUAAAACUGGACAUAUUGUUUUAGAAAAAGCUAUUUAAAAAAUCCUUAUCUGUACGUAACAGACGAUGGAGAUGAAGUGAUUAUUAUGUGUGGCAAAAGAUUAUUUUAUGAAGUUUUUCAUUUUCUGACUUCGUGAUGGAACUUAUUGGAAUACACUUGCCAUGGACAUGGGAGGAAUAUUGCCACUACAAGCAUGAACAAUAAUAAAACAUUUCAAAGAACAAUUUGUUAUUUCAACGAUUAGAUUUGUUGUUUAAAUGUAUAAAUGCUUUUUGAAUAUUCUUAUUAUAUAU